rnacentral:rRNA from 1 species
AGCAGCUCAAAUUUGAAAGCCGGCUUAGGCCCGCAUUGUAAUUUGCAGAGGAUGCUUCGGGCGCGGCGCCGGCCUAAGUUCCUUGGAACAGGACGUCACGGAGGGUGAGAAUCCCGUAUGUGGCUAGCGGCUUGCACCCGGGUGAAGCUCCUUCGACGAGUCGAGUUGUUUGGGAAUGCAGCUCUAAACGGGUGGUGUACUUCAUCUAAAGCUAAAUACCGGCCAGAGACCGAUAGCGCACAAGUAGAGUGAUCGAAAGAUGAAAAGCACUUUGGAAAGAGGGUUAAACAGUACGUGAAAUUGUUGAAAGGGAAGCGCUUGCCAUCAGACUUGCGCGGCGUCGAUCAACCUCGGGUUUCUCCCGGGUGCACUCGGCGCCGCGCAGGCCAGCAUCGGUUUCGGCGGCUGGACAAAGGCUCGGGGAACGUGGGUAGCUUCGGCCACCGUUAUAGCCCCGGGCGCAAUGCAGCCAGCUGGGACCGAGGACCGCGCUUCGGCUAGGAUGCUGGCGUAAUGGUGGUAAGCGACCCGUCUUGAAACACGGACCAAGGAGUCUAACAUCUAUGCGAGUGUUUGGGUGGCAAACCCAUGCGCGCAAUGAAAGUGAACGGAGGUGAGAACCCUCGCGGGGUGCAUCAUCGACCGAUCCUGAUGUCUACGGAUGGAUUUGAGUAGGAGCAUAGCUGUUGGGACCCGAAAGAUGGUGAACUAUGCCUGAAUAGGGUGAAGCCAGAGGAAACUCUGGUGGAGGCUCGCAGCGGUUCUGACGUGCAAAUCGAUCGUCAAAUUUGGGUAUAGGGGCGAAAGACUAAUCGAACCAUGUAGCCCUUC